UCCUAAUCCAAUUGGGUGGAUUUCAUCUCCAAAAGGUACAUGAAUAUGUGAGGCUGUCCUAUUUUCUUAUGCAUAAGCACUGUUCUGAAUGAAUUGGGUCGGGCCUCGGUGCGUCUGGGGCUGAUCGCUGUUGCUUCCCUUAUUCUUGUCCCAUCUGGAUUUUUCUCUUAGGCAAGGGCAAGGGAUGCUGCAUUAAACGCCAUUCAAUCACCUUUAUUAGAUAUCAGUAUAGACAGGGCUACUGGAAUUGUGUGGAACAUAACUGGUGGAACUGAUUUGACACUCUAUGAGGUAAAUGCUGCAGCAGAGGUUAUUUAUGAUCUUGUUUAUCCAACAGCGAAUCUAAUAUUUGGAGCAGUGACUGAUCCAUCACUCACUGGUCGAGUUCCAAUUGGUGGUUGUUA